UGGGCGUAAAGAGCUCGUAGGUGGUUUGUCGCGUUGUUCGUGAAAUCUCACGGCUUAACUGUGAGCGUGCGGGCGAUACGGGCAGACUUGAGUACUGCAGGGGAGACUGGAAUUCCUGGUGUAGCGGUGGAAUGCGCAGAUAUCAGGAGGAACACCGGUGGCGAAGGCGGGUCUCUGGGCAGUAACUGACGCUGAGGAGCGAAAGCGUGGGGAGCGAACAGGAUUAGAUACCCUGGUAGUCCACGCCGUAAACGGUGGGUACUAGGUGUGGGUUUCCUUCCUUGGGAUCCGUGCCGUAGCUAACGCAUUAAGUACCCCGCCUGGGGAGUACGGCCGCAAGGCUAAAACUCAAAGAAAUUGACGGGGGCCCGCACAAGCGGCGGAGCAUGUGGAUUAAUUCGAUGCAACGCGAAGAACCUUACCUGGGUUUGACAUGCACAGGACGCCGGCAGAGAUGUCGGUUCCCUUGUGGCCUGUGUGCAGGUGGUGCAUGGCUGUCGUCAGCUCGUGUCGUGAGAUGUUGGGUUAAGUCCCGCAACGAGCGCAACCCUUGUCUCAUGUUGCCAGCGGGUAAUGCCGGGGACUCGUGAGAGACUGCCGGGGUCAACUCGGAGGAAGGUGGGGAUGACGUCAAGUCAUCAUGCCCCUUAUGUCCAGGGCUUCACACAUGCUACAAUGGCCGGUACAAAGGGCUGCGAUGCCGCGAGGUUAAGCGAAUCCUUUUAAAGCCGGUCUCAGUUCGGAUCGGGGUCUGCAACUCGACCCCGUGAAGUCGGAGUCGCUAGUAAUCGC
rnacentral:rRNA from 1 species